UACGUAGGGGGCAAGCGUUGUCCGGAAUCAUUGGGCGUAAAGCGCGCGUAGGCGGCCCGGUAAGUCCGCUGUAAAAGUCCAGGGCUCAACCCUGGAAAGCCGGUGGAUACUGUCGGGCUAGAGUCCGGAAGAGGCGAGUGGAAUUCCUGGUGUAGCGGUGGAAUGCGCAGAUAUCAGGAGGAACACCGAUGGCGAAGGCGGCAUCCUGGACCGACACUGACGCUGAGGCGCGAAAGCUAGGGUAGCAAACGGG
rnacentral:rRNA from 1 species